rnacentral:rRNA from 1 species
AGCGAACGCUGGCGGCAGGCUUAACACAUGCAAGUCGAACGGGCGUAGCAAUACGUCAGUGGCAGACGGGUGAGUAACGCGUGGGAACGUACCUUUUGGUUCGGAACAACCCAGGGAAACUUGGGCUAAUACCGGAUAAGCCCUUACGGGGAAAGAUUUAUCGCCGAAAGAUCGGCCCGCGCCUGAUUAGCUAGUUGGUGUGGUAACGGCGCACCAAGGCGACGAUCAGUAGCUGGUCUGAGAGGAUGAUCAGCCACAUUGGGACUGAGACACGGCCCAAACUCCUACGGGAGGCAGCAGUGGGGAAUAUUGGACAAUGGGCGCAAGCCUGAUCCAGCCAUGCCGCGUGAGUGAUGAAGGCCCUAGGUUGUAAAGCUCUUUUGUGCGGGAAGAUAAUGACGGUACCGCAAGAAUAAGCCCCCGGCUAACUUCGUGCCAGCAGCCGCAGUAAG